UUUUGCUUAGUUCAGUGGUAGAACAACGGACAAUUAGUCCAUAUGUCACUGGUUCAAAUCCAGUAGCAAAAA
rnacentral:tRNA from 1 species